CUCCUAUAAAUACUAGCAUUGAUUACAAAGCCAACCCCAACUCCUUCCUACAAAAUACAUUCAUUUACAAAUAAUGUUUCUCUUGUGCUCCUCACUGCCAACCUAUUAACAGACAGAAAGGGAAAAAAUAAAAUAGAAUUUCUCAUUAACAGUCAAUGGUCAAAUAUUCAUGGAAAUAUUUCUCCCUCCUCUUCCUCCCCAUUUAGUACCAUUUCAUCCUCAUCCCAAAUAUCAUCCUUUAUAAACAAACCCAACCGCUCCAGUGGGCUCCUCGAGUAAGCUCCAAUGCGAAAAUUAUAUGAUAGGGAACCCCCACAAAGCAUCUCAAGUUCUUUUAGAAUCUCCAGGUUCUGCUCAAUGUUGACAGUUUUUCCCAUCUUCUGCAAUGCAACUCGAGCUGCUUCUCUUUCUCUCUCCCUAUGUAUUUUCAAUUCCAGUUCUUCCCUCUUUUGUGAGGCAGCUUCAGCAGCUCUCAUUUGGGCUUCAAUCGAAGCCUUCACGCUGCCUCCUUUCCAAUCUUUCCUUCUCCUGCUGCAUCUUCACAGGAUCAGCCUUAUCACCAUGAUCUAGAAGUGUCUUAUGCUGUGCUUUUAAGAUAGUAUCUGCAAAUCGAUACUUUAGCAUUGCAGCGCGAAGGGCCUUUGUUGGAGACAGUUGUACAUCACAAGUAGGUCUCCAUCCUUCUCGAGAAGUUGCGUCUGUUGCAGGAGUUAUGAGCUGUAAACUAGGGUAUGCAUUUUCAUCAUCCAAAGUACUUACAGCCCCAUCAGAAUCUGGAUCUGACUUGCUCAUCUGUGAAGCUGACAUGCUUUUCCCAUGAUAAUCCAGUUUUGAGGCAUCAGUGCCACAUGCAGUAUCAUCUCUGCUCAAUGACCUCUCAGAAGAUAUAUCAGAGGAAGCAUGGGUUGAG
rnacentral:misc_RNA from 1 species